GAGGAACGCUAGCUACUGGCUUAACACAUGCGAGUCGAGGGGCAUCAGGAAGAAAGCUUGCUUUCUUUGCUGGCGACCGGCGCACGGGUGAGUAACACGUAUCCAACCUGCCCUUUACUCGGGGAUAGCCUUUCGAAAGAAAGAUUAAUACCCGAUGGGAUAAUUAUUCCGCAUGGUUUGAUUAUUAAAGGAUUCCGGUAAAGGAUGGGGAUGCGUUCCAUUAGGUUGUUGGUGAGGUAACGGCUCACCAAGCCUUCGAUGGAUAGGGGUUCUGAGAGGAAGGUCCCCCACAUUGGAACUGAGACACGGUCCAAACUCCUACGGGAGGCAGCAGUGAGGAAUAUUGGUCAAUGGGCGCUAGCCUGAACCAGCCAAGUAGCGUGAAGGAUGAAGGCUCUAUGGGUCGUAAACUUCUUUUAUAUAAGAAUAAAGUGCAGUAUGUAUACUGUUUUGUAUGUAUUAUAUGAAUAAGGAUCGGCUAACUCCGUGCCAGCAGCCGCGGUAAUACGGAGGAUCCGAGCGUUAUCCGGAUUUAUUGGGUUUAAAGGGAGCGUAUGUGGACUGGUAAGUCAGUUGUGAAAGUUUGCGGCUCAACCGUAAAAUUGCAGUUGAUACUGUCAGUCUUGAGUACAGUACAGGUGGGCGGAAUUCGUGGUGUAGCGGUGAAAUGCUUGCAUAUCACGAAGAGCUCCGAUUGCGAAUGCAGCUCACUGGACUGCAACUGACACUGAUGCUCGA
rnacentral:rRNA from 1 species